rnacentral:misc_RNA from 1 species
UGUGGGAGGGGGCUUGCCCCCGAUAGCGGACUGCCAGUUAAUAAAUCUGUGACUGGCCCACCAUCGGGGGCAAGCUCCCUUCCAUA